CCAAGAGAAAGCGUGAAGCUGCCAGCAUGAUCUAACUCUUGAAGCUGGCCGCGUGGUGCUGGUUAGAUCGUGCUGUGACAGUUUCACUCUUUCCCUGU
rnacentral:pre_miRNA from 1 species